CAGUACAAUGCCAGCCAACUUCUUACGCAAAGAGAGGCUGUAAGUAGAGAAAUCCGAAAGACUUUGACUGAGAGAGCAGCCCAGUUCAAUAUUGCUCUUGAUGAUGUUUCCAUAACAAGUUUAACUUUUGGAAAGGAGUUUACAGCUGCAAUCGAAGCCAAGCAAGUGGCUGCCCAAGAAGCCGAAAGAGCUAAAUUCGUUGUCGAGAAGGCUGAACAGGACAAGAGAAGUGCUAUAAUUAGAGCACAGGGAGAAGCCAAGAGUGGGCAGCUGAUAGGACAAGCUGUUGCCAAUAACCCUGCGUUUAUGACUCUGAGGAAGAUUGAAGCAGCAAGAGAAAUUGCACAUACUAUUGCAAACUCAUCCAACAAAGUUUUCCUCAAUUCAGAUGAUCUGUUGUUGAACCUUCAAGAGAUGAAUUUGGAGCCCAGUGGAAAGAAGUAAGUCCACCCACAUCCCUUCUAAACUUACUAGCCAAUUUGUUUCGUUUCUUUG
rnacentral:misc_RNA from 1 species